GAUGAACGCUAGCGGCAGGCUUAACACAUGCAAGUCGAGGGGCAGCGGGGAGGAAGCUUGCUUUCUCCGCCGGCGACCGGCGCACGGGUGAGUAACACGUAUGCAACCUGCCCCUGUCAGGGGGACAACCCGCCGAAAGGCGGGCUAAACCCGCGUACAUGCCACCGGGGCAUCCCGGAGGCAGGAAAGGCUUCGGCCGGACAGGGAUGGGCAUGCGGCGCAUUAGGCAGUAGGCGGGGUAACGGCCCACCUAACCGACGAUGCGUAGGGGUUCUGAGAGGAAGGUCCCCCACACUGGUACUGAGACACGGACCAGACUCCUACGGGAGGCAGCAGUGAGGAAUAUUGGUCAAUGGUCGGGAGACUGAACCAGCCAAGCCGCGUGAGGGAGGAAGGUACAGAGUAUCGUAAACCUCUUUUGUCAGGGAACAAAGGCGGGGACGUGUCCCCGGAUGAGUGUACCUGAAGAAAAAGCAUCGGCUAACUCCGUGCCAGCAGCCGCGGUAAUACGGAGGAUGCGAGCGUUAUCCGGAUUUAUUGGGUUUAAAGGGUGCGCAGGCGGUCUGUUAAGUCAGCGGUCAAAGCCCGGGGCUCAACCCCGGCCCGCCGUUGAAACUGGCAGUCUCGAGUUGGAGAGAAGUAUGCGGAAUGCGCGGUGUAGCGGUGAAAUGCAUAGAUAUCGCGCAGAACUCCGAUUGCGAAGGCAGCAUGCCGGCUCCACACUGACGCUGAGGCACGAAAGCGUGGGUAUCGAACAGGAUUAGAUACCCUGGUAGUCCACGCAGUAAACGAUGAAUGCUGGCUGUCCGGGGGGAUUGACCCCUGGGUGGCGAAGCGAAAGCGAUAAGCAUUCCACCUGGGGAGUACGCCGGCAACGGUGAAACUCAAAGGAAUUGACGGGGGCCCGCACAAGCGGAGGAACAUGUGGUUUAAUUCGAUGAUACGCGAGGAACCUUACCCGGGCUCAAACGGGGAGUGACUCAGGCAGAGACGCCUGUUUCCCACGGGACACUCCCCGAGGUGCUGCAUGGUUGUCGUCAGCUCGUGCCGUGAGGUGUCGGCUUAAGUGCCAUAACGAGCGCAACCCCCGCGUGCAGUUGCUAACAGAUAACGCUGAGGACUCUGCACGGACUGCCGGCGCAAGCCGCGAGGAAGGCGGGGAUGACGUCAAAUCAGCACGGCCCUUACGUCCGGGGCGACACACGUGUUACAAUGGGUGGUACAGCGGGAAGCCAGGCGGCGACGCCGAGCGGAACCCGAAAUCCACUCUCAGUUCGGAUCGGAGUCUGCAACCCGACUCCGUGAAGCUGGAUUCGCUAGUAAUCGCGCAUCAGCCAUGGCGCGGUGAAUACGUUCCCGGGCCU
rnacentral:rRNA from 1 species